UUCGAGUGGCGGACGGGUGAGUAACGCGUGGGUAACCUGCCUUACACAGGGGGAUAACACCUGGAAACAGGUGCUAAUACCGCAUAAGCGCACAGGGCCGCAUGGCCCGGUGUGAAAAACUCCGGUGGUGUAAGAUGGACCCGCGUCUGAUUAGCUUGUUGGCGGGGUAGGGGCCCACCAAGGCGACGAUCAGUAGCCGGCCUGAGAGGGUGGACGGUCACAUUGGGACUGAGACACGGCCCAAACUCCUACGGGAGGCAGCAG
rnacentral:rRNA from 1 species